UUAAAUUGAAGAGUUUGAUCAUGGCUCAGAUUGAACGCUGGCGGCAGGCCUAACACAUGCAAGUCGAACGGUAGCACAGAGAGCUUGCUCUCGGGUGACGAGUGGCGGACGGGUGAGUAAUGUCUGGGAAACUGCCUGAUGGAGGGGGAUAACUACUGGAAACGGUAGCUAAUACCGCAUAAUGUCGCAAGACCAAAGAGGGGGACUUUCGGGCCUCUUGCCAUCAGAUGUGCCCAGAUGGGAUUAGCUAGUAGGUGGGGUAACGGCUCACCUAGGCGACGAUCCCUAGCUGGUCUGAGAGGAUGACCAGCCACACUGGAA
rnacentral:rRNA from 1 species